UACGUAGGGGGCGAGCGUUGUCCGGAAUUACUGGGCGUAAAGAGAGCGUAGGCGGCACUCCAAGUCUCAUGUGAAAUACCCGGGCUUAACUUGGGGGUUGCAUGGGAAACUGUAGAGCUUGAGUACAGGAGAGGCAAGCGGAAUUCCUAGUGUAGCGGUGAAAUGCAUAGAUAUUAGGAGGAACACCAGUGGCGAAGGCGGCUUGCUGGACUGAAACUGACGCUGAGGCUCGAAAGCGUGGGGAGCAAACAGG
rnacentral:rRNA from 1 species